rfam:Schistosoma haematobium scaffold1563_7, whole genome shotgun sequence.
AGCUUUAUGAAUCCACGCACAGAUUUGGUCAGACACCAACCCAUUAGAGCUGAUCAGACUUCCAAGAUAAGUGAAGUU